rnacentral:rRNA from 1 species
AUGGCAGACAACCAAAUCAAUGGCCACAUACCUCCCGAGAUAAGCCGCCUAACCCAACUCAGGUACCUCAACCUUAGCAUGAAUUCCAUUACAGGGAUGAUUCCAAAUAGCAUAUCGUCAUGCACCCUCCUCGAGGUCAUCGACCUUAGGAUGAAUUCAAUCACGGGGGUGAUUCCGACUACCAUAUCGUCAUGUUCACGCCUCAAGGUCAUAGACCUUAGCAUGAAUUCCAUCACAGGGGUGAUUCCGAAUACCAUAUCCUCAUGUUCGCACCUCGAGGUCAUCCACCUGUGGAACAACUCGAUCGAAGGUGCAAUCCCUCCAGCGCUUGCACAAUGCUCGUCUCUUCGCGAAAUUGUUCUUAGCAAUAACAACCUUAAUGGCAGUAUCCCUCAUGGAAUUGGCUUGCUUCCCAACCUUACAUACCUGUUUCUGCCGAGCAACAAUCUGAAGGGUCCAAUUCCUGAAUCUUUGGGAGGUAGCCCAUUGCUCAAUGUCGUCCUGUCGAAUAAUAGCCUAACUGGUGGAAUUCCACCUCUGCUAGCAAAUUGCUCUUCACUUAACUACCUUGACCUCAUGAGAAAUAGCUUUGAUGGAGAGAUUCCUCUAGGACUCUUUAGUAACCCAUCUCUUGCUAUCUUAGAUCUCUCAUAUAAUCAAUUCUCCGGACCAAUACCAUCUUCCUCACUGAUAGCCUCCCAGCUACAGUAUGUCAGCCUGACAGGAAACAACCUCUCAGGAAAAAUUCCUGACACACUAGGAAACAUUUCUAACCUAUAUUCUUUGACACUUGCUCAGAAUAGGCUGCAAGGAAGCAUUCCGGAGAGUUUAGCUAAGAUUCCGAUUUUGCAAGCACUUGAUUUGUCAUACAACAACUUGUCUGGUGCAGUCCCACCAGCUCUUUACAGAGUCACAUCUCUCACUUAUCUUGGCCUUGGUAACAACCAACUUUCUGGGAGAAUUCCGAUAGAUAUUGCAUACACACUUCCCAGCAUUGAGACAUUGGUCAUGGAAGGAAACCAUUUCGAUGGUCCACUUCCUAUAUCAUUAGUUAACUUAUCCAACCUUCAAGUGCUUGAGCUCCGUGAUAACGCAUUCACUGGUUUGAUUCCUUCUUUCUGGUCCUUGCCCAACUUGAUCCAAUUGGACCUUGGUACCAACCAGUUUGAGGCUGUAGAUUGGAGUACUUUGUCCUCAGUACCAGGCUCUGCCCAGUUGCAGGCAAUUUAUCUGGAUUACAACAAGCUUCAUGGAAAAUUACCUAGUUCCAUGGGAAAUCUUCCAAGAAGCUUACAGAAGUUGUAUCUAUCAGAAAACAGAUUUACUGGGACCAUACCUUCAGAGAUAGCAAAACUCACAAACCUCACAGUUCUUCAACUUGGUGGGAACUUUCUCUCUGGGGGGAUUCCUGACACACUCGGAAACCUCAAGAACUUGUUUCUUCUAGGUUUGUCACGGAACAAACUUUCUGGAAAAAUCCCGCAGUCAGUUGGUAACUUAAAAAAUCUUGGUGAGCUUUAUCUCGAAGAAAACAACUUGACUGGAUCCAUACCUUCAAGCUUAGCAGACUGCCAAAAUUUGGUACUGCUAAACCUCUCAUGCAAUGAUUUCCAUGGGAGUAUUCCACCUGGGCUCAUGUCUAUUUCCACUCUUUCAAAGAGCCUAGAUUUGUCUUAUAAUAAACUCAACGGAUCCAUACCAUCUGAGAUUGGCAGCUUGAUUAAUCUCGACUCCCUUAAUAUUUCCAACAACCAGUUAUCUGGAGAUAUUCCACAUGCAGUUGGUGAGUGCCUUCAUUUAGAAUCGCUUCGACUAGAGGUGAACUUUCUUCGUGGGAGCAUCCCAGAAUCCCUCAUGAGCUUAAGAGGCAUUACUGAGAUGGACCUUUCUCGGAACAACUUGUCCGGCGAAAUCCCAGACUUCUUUGAGUCCUUUGACUCUUUGCAGCUUCUCAAUUUGUCCUUUAACAGCCUUGAGGGAAUAGUUCCAACAGGUGGCGCAUUUAGCAAUUCAAGUAAGGUGUUCAUACAAGGAAACAAGGAUUUAUGUACAAGGUCUCCGAUGCUCCAGUUACCACUUUGCACAUCAGACCCAACCAAAAGAAAGGAAACUUUGCAUAUCAUAUCAAUAGUUGUUCCUCUGGCUGCUGCUGUUGUAGUUCUGAUAUCAGCAGUUGCAACCAUUCUUUUCAAGAAAAGAAAUGAAUUAAGAGAACACAUUUAUCAGUCAAUCAAGGAGUUCAAGAAAUUCUCAUACAAUGAGCUUGCUGCAGCUACCAACAAUUUUUCUUCAGCUAACCAUGUUGGUUCCGGGAGUUUUGGAGUGGUCUAUAAAGGCAUACUAAAGUUUCAGGCGCAGCCAGUUGCUAUUAAGGUGUUCAAACUGGAACAUAUUGGAGCACCAAAGAGCUUCUUUACUGAAUGUGAGGUGCUCAGAAACACCCGCCACCGAAAUCUUAUGCGGGUCAUUAGUCUAUGCUCAAGCUUCGAUCACCUGGGAAGUGAAUUCAAGGCACUGGUUCUUGACUAUAUGGCCAAUGGUAACCUAGAAAGCUGGCUCCAUUCAGAAGUACAUGAAGAAAGACAGAAAAGGCCAUUGAGUCUAGUAUCAAGAGUAAGCAUAGCUACGGACAUUGCUGCUGCCUUGGACUAUCUCCACAACCGGUGCACGCCUCCUUUGGUUCACUGUGAUUUGAAGCCAAGCAACAUCCUUUUGGAUGACGCUAUGGUUGCUCAUGUUAGUGACUAUGGAUUAGCAAAGUUUCUUGGUAACCAUCCUUCAGCAAGUCUUAAUGAUUUGACAAGUAUACAUGGGCCAAGAGGAUCAGUUGGAUAUAUUGCACCUGAAUACGGAUUAGGUUAUGAAAUAUCAACUGCAGGGGACGUCUACAGCUAUGGUAUUAUUCUGCUAGAAAUGCUCACAGGGAAGCAUCCUACUGACGAUAUCUUCAACAAUGGUCUGAACCUUCACAGAUUGGUGGUCUCUGCACUCCCACAAGAUAUUGGUGACAUUUUAGAGACCGGUCUUAUUCCACAUGAUGAACUUGAAGAAACAAACCGCAACACAGAAAGUAAGAAUCACCCAGUGGUCAGAAUGCAGAACUGUAUCAUGCAGUUAGCUAAACUGGGCCUAAAAUGUUCCAUGGACUCACCAAAAGAUCGGCCAAUGAUGCAAGAUGUUUAUGCUGAAAUCAUCACGAUCAAGGAAACAUUUUCAGAAUUGUGGAGUUGA